rnacentral:rRNA from 1 species
GUGAAGCUGGAUUCGCUAGUAAUCGCGCAUCAGCCACGGCGCGGUGAAUACGUUCCCGGGCCUUGUACACACCGCCCGUCAAGCCAUGGGAGCCGGGGGUGCCUGAAGUGCGUGACCGCAAGGAGCGCCCUAGGGUAAAACCGGUGACUGGGGCUAAGUCGUAACAAGGUACC